CAACGAUAUCACAUAUUAAAAACCGGUUCUCGUCCGGUCACUGAAGUUAAGCAACGCCCAGCCUGGUCGGCACCUAGAUGGGUGACCACAUGAGAAUAGCAGGUUCUGUAAG